UNGGUUUGCGAGGCAUUCCAGGUAGAUGC
rnacentral:piRNA from 1 species